UAGUUUCAGAUUCUGUGGCUUUGAGGU
rnacentral:piRNA from 1 species